UACGUAGGGUGCAAGCGUUAAUCGGAAUUACUGGGCGUAAAGCGUGCGCAGGCGGUUUUGUAAGUCUGUCGUGAAAUCCCCGGGCUCAACCUGGGAAUUGCGAUGGAGACUGCAAGGCUAGAAUCUGGCAGAGGGGGGUAGAAUUCCACGUGUAGCAGUGAAAUGCGUAGAGAUGUGGAGGAAUACCGAUGGCGAAGGCAGCCUCCUGGGCCAACACUGACGCUCAUGCACGAAAGCGUGGGGAGCAAACAGG
rnacentral:rRNA from 1 species